UAUAUACAUAUAUAUGCAUGAGCACAUAAUGUCAGCUAUAUAUUACAGUUUUCCAUUAGGUGUUUUGUACUUUAAGGUUCACCUAACUUUGUCCAGCAGAAAUAGAUAUCCUGACAAUUGAUUGUUUCUUGUGAAAGAGAAAUAAUAUUUUAACACAAAAACUAAAUAUCCUGCGGUUCUAGGCGAGAGGUGGGGUACACUCCAGACAGAUAGCCAGUCCAUCCCAGGACAUGCAAAAAGUUACACUUAUAUUGACUAUUUAUGUUUUUGCACAUUUGGACACAAAUGCAAACAUCAGUACACAUCAAAAGUUUUCCUGUUACACAGCACUAUAUGUUUUUCUUCAGUUCUUUAGAUUCAAAUUAAUUUUCUAUUUUACUUUUUUGGUAGAUGGUACCAGGCAACAUCAGCUGGCUAAAAGAAGUUGACUUUGAUGAGGACAUACUCUCUUUGGAUACUGAGCUUCGUCCGCAGAUUUAGAGAAACUGGAAAAUCCUGAAGAGUUUGCUCACAUUCUGGACUGGCUGGGGUUUGGUUUCCUCCAGUCUAGAAGUGGAAGUUAUUGACUCUGCUCUACCGCAGUCGUCCACUUGCUUCCUGACUCUGAAGCUAUCGAAAAAUCUAAAAAACUUUGAAGACUUCCAACGAGACCUAAUGGCCAGCAUGUCCUCUUUCCUACUCUGGUUUUGGUCAGAUUUAAGUAAAGACAUUUAAACAAAUGUUAACACGGUACAACAAAUCCCGUCUGUUAAAAAAAUGUCAGUAAUGAGAAUUAUGUAUUUAAAGUGUUUUUAUGGUUGUUGAAUCUGUUGUUAGAAAUUUAUAUUUUAGAUUCAUAUACUUCCUAAAACCAAGACUAUGGUCCACAUGUUAAACAUGUAUAAGUCUGGCUUUUUUUGUUCGGAUUAAACAUAAAACAAUGUUCCAUUA